AGAGUUUGAUCCUGGCUCAGAUUGAACGCGGCGGCAUGCUAACACAUGCAAGUCGCACGCGAAAGGGGGCAACUCCUGAGUACAGCGGCGUACGGGUGAGUAACACGUGGAUGAUCUACCUCUUAGUGGGGAAUAACGCUGGGAAACCGGCGCUAAUACCGCAUAAGCCUGAGAAGGGAAAGCAGCAAUGCGCUGAGAGAGGAGUCCGCGGCCGAUUAGCUAGUUGGUGAGGUAAAGGCUCACCAAGGCAAAGAUCGGUAGCCGGCCUGAGAGGGCACACGGCCACACUGGCACUGAAACACGGGCCAGACUCCUACGGGAGGCAGCAGUGGGGAAUCUUGCACAAUGGGGGAAACCCUGAUGCAGCGACGCCGCGUGAGCGAUGAAGCCCUUCGGGGUGUAAAGCUCUUUCGGCAGGGAAGAUAAUGACGGUACCUGCAGAAGCAGCUGCGGCUAACUACGUGCCAGCAGCCGCGGUAAUACGUAGGCAGCAAGCGUUGUUCGGAGUUACUGGGCGUAAAGGGUGUGUAGGCGGUUCUUUAAGUUUGGUGUGAAAUCUCCCGGCUCAACUGGGAGGGUGCGCCGAAUACUGAGGGACUAGAGUACGGGAGAGGAAAGUGGAAUUCCUGGUGUAGCGGUGAAAUGCGUAGAUAUCAGGAGAAACACCGGUGGUGUAGACGGCUUUCUGGACCGUAACUGACGCUGAGACACGAAAGCGUGGGUAGCAAACAGGAUUAGAUACCCUGGUAGUC
rnacentral:rRNA from 1 species